AUGCCCUCCUCACAUAUGUCAGCAUCCCAAUUCUUGAUGUAUGGGAGGGUCUAUUUCCAGAGGCAAUGUCUGGUAAUAGUUAUUGUACAAGUCAUAUUCCCAGCAGAGACAGCACUUUCACUUUUAAGUGGGGGCCCAUUGAUUAAGUCCAACUGAAAGCUAGAAGCAUGAGGCAUGUGGAUGCCAUCUGCAUAAGUCUGCAUCCACGCAUCAAGGAAGGAAGAGCGGAACUGGAUCUGGAGAGGAGAGAGAUACAAAUUACAUUAAAAGCCCAGAGAAAAGAGUCACUAUCAUCCAGCUACAUGAACAGAGCAUUCUCAGGUAAGAAGCCCAGAAGGCCAAACCCCAAGUUCUGCUUCAGUCAUCCCUAAACAGUCAAGACUUAAUCAAGGAUGACCACCUACCACUUAAGACAAACUAGAAAAAGCCAAAUAUGCUCUCCAGCCAAUCACAUAAGAUGACCUGUUUCUCCUUAAGCCAACCUCAGCUUCUCCAUACCAGCAACCUCCAGCCACAGCAUAUCUGAAGCCUUCUCUUUCCCCCCAACUCACUAUAAAUCUUUCCCACACCCCGCUGUGCUUGGAAGCAUUGGGCAAACAAAAGUGAUGGUGGCCAACUCCCUUGUCAUAGCAAGCCCUGAAUAAAGAUUGUAUUCUC